rnacentral:lncRNA from 1 species
UGUAUGAGAAGCUUUAUUAUUCUAACAGAUUUUGUUUACAAGCAGAAAAUAUUGGUAAAUCUCAUAUAACAUAAGGAUGUAUCAAUAGUUCCAUAUGCUAUGCUUUAAUAGAGUUCUGUAAGGUUUCUAAAGAUGACUUAAGUCAGCGUCACUGAAAAUAAAGAGUCAGAAAUAACCUAAAAAAUGAGUGAUUCCAUAGAACAAAUAUAUUCAUUUUACAGAUGGGGAACUGUGACAUGAAGAAGUUAACUUACCUAAGAUCAGAGAAUGAGUCAAGGACAGAACAGGACCAUGUCAUCAAAUUUAGAGAAACUUGAACUAUGAGUUUGAACCUGCUCUUCCCAAUUCAUGAAUUUUGUAAUGGAGAACAUUGGAUCCAGGCAAAUCCUGAUUUAAUUUCAACUUUACACCCUCAGGCAAGUUACUUCCCUUUAUUAAGACUCCAUCUUUCCAUAUGUAAAAUGAGAUUAUCUGAUGUGAUUAAGAUCUCUUCAAAAUAUUCAAAAUGUUUUACUUCCACUUUGCUAAAUUUUUAUCAAAGUAGUGUUCUCUAAUUACCCACAUCAUCAGAACUACUCAAAUAUUGUUCAUGCACUUCUUUAGAGCACUUUGGAAAAUUUCAACAGAAUUGGUUGUCUGGUAAACCCAAGGUCACAGGCAUAGAAACCAGUUUAUAGCAUUCUCUUGCAAAAUAUCUAAUGAUAUCCAUAAUGUGGAAAGCAAACAAUAAUUUUAUGUCCAAAAAUAGAAUAAACUGUUCUACCUGGCAACCUUUGCCAGGAGAACAAAUGCUUGCUUUUGAAAUUUAUCCUUCCCUACACCAUGACCAGGCUGAAUGUAUAUAUUCAUGACCUAGGCAUUUUUCCUGCCACCUCCAAAAAUUUGUUUUUUACCAUUUAUCAUUUUGUCUGGAUAAUGUGCGUGAUGAUUUCAAAACCUAGUAAAACCUAUACAUG